rnacentral:tRNA from 1 species
UUCCUAAUCUGAUCUUAAUAGUAUUUUAAAUGAUAAUUAAAAUUAAAAAAUUAAGAAU